GUCAGGAAAUGCUGGGAAAAUAGAGGAAGUACAACAUAGUGCGCUACUUUUCGUUGGUCAUGGCCACUGGUUCCAACGACUGGCUGAUGUCCUCCAGAGCUUUGGCCACAGCGUCAGUAUCACCACACCUGACACCAUCGAUCACAAUGGGAAUACUCUGCAACACAGUGCAGGAACUGCUGCCAGCUCCACCAGCAGAGUGACCAUGAAGAAACCCCGGACACUGUCCCCACCUGGGAGGGUGACCAGCAGCUCCAGUUAGCCAAUACAGCAUCUGCAUGGGUGAGAAUUGGGGGAAGGCCUAAGCGCUGUGACACCUCCCAGUAUGGAACAGCCAGAGUAUGCG